CCACGCGCUGCAGGGAGCAGGUGCCGUAGGGAGCAGCGCGCUAGGAGGGAGCUCCGCCAGGCGGGAGUUGACGAAGCAGCGAGGGGCGAUGCUGCACUAGCCACUGCAAACGGCUCAGCUGUCUCAGAAUCAGCUUGGGUACCGCCUUGGAGCUAUGGUCGUUGCUUCUCGGACACUGGAGUACCAUGUGGAGAAGGAACUUGGAAGAUUGUUUUGGCAAGAGAGGAAAAAUACACAAAUGUAUGGAGAAAAAGAGCUAAAGAAAUACUGGAUACAAUCAAAGCUCUGUCUGAACCUUCAAGUGAGUCCGUCGAGCAUGCAUGAAGAAUGGAUAAACUCAGAUGGUGGUGUUAGAUGGGGUCUGCUGUCACUAGUUUGCGCCUCGCAGUAUAAGCUGAUCC